ACGCAGGACAGCGUGCAGGCAUCCUUGUUAUUUUGGUUUCCGACCCUGUCGUCCGUCCACAAAUAUCGAAUGUGCAUACACUUUGCUCCCACUGGGUUAGCGACGGCGUAGGCACGCGACUCAAAGCACUCUCCCCAGCAAUCACCACCUCUUCGCCCGUACACCUGUUCCCAAUCAGCACUCAUCACUGCCUGCAUUUAAGCCUGCCUGACCCAGGGAUCUAGCGCCAGAGUAUGCACACUCGUUCGUGGUACACAGGCCGACUCUUGAGUGUUUCUCCCAUGUCUCCUGUUUUGCCGCCCGCUCCAACCAUGCCGUCUAGCUCUUCCACCUGCUCACGCUCCCGUAUCCUGCCCGUUCCUUGUUCCUACGAACCACUAUCAAACCCUGAGCUACCUCAAAAUAAACCAUUCUCAUCUACUCCCUCGGCCUCAGCAUGCUUUUGGGUCCAAUCCAAUACCAUGCGAUUAUGUAUCUUGACAGAAUACUCUGGCCCUCAUGGACCCAGCCACACCGGAAGCGUUGAGGGAAGCGCUCGCCCACCGAGGCCCACAUUUGCAGACAGGAUAAAGCUCUCCGCAAAAUCAUGGACUCUUUAAGCACCCUCACACAACAAGUAUCACUCCUGUCCUCCCACAUGGACUCUGGCAACCCCCACCUCAGCAACCCUUCCGUGAGUAUUCCACCCGAGCCCACAGCCUCCACAGACACCUGGACCAACCGCACGUUCCUCCUCCCGAACCUUACUCCGGGGACAGAGGUUCCUGUGGUCAGUUUCUAUUAAACUGUUCACUUAUAUCAAGAAGGUCAGUCAAGGAGUUAAGAAGG